ACAAAAGUGGGAGAAUUUCAUUGUUAGGUCCACCAUGCGACAGAAGAUGAACAGUCUUCAAAGGAUGUUUGAAGCUCUACUACUCAGCACUCAGUGGUGCACUGGAACCAGCCUGCAGUAGCUCAUGAGAGCCAAUGAUAUGGAACAAAAGACAUAGAAAAGCAAAGCAACCAAAGACUAUUGAUAGACUGUGUAUUUAUAUCCAUGGUUUCCUGCAUUCUGUGGACCCUCUGAUAAUUCUGAGGGGAAAAUAAUUGCUGCAUUGACAAAAUGUGUGAUGUGGGUGGAAAGAGAGGUGCAGCGUGCUUCCAAGGACGGCCCAUCUUAAUAGAAUUGUGGGAGAGAACAAGUGUCUCAUGUGGACUUCAGACAAUCUUUGGAAUCUUCUUUGUCAACAGAUUCAACCCACCAUGGUGCAAGUUGCCAUGUUUUCUGGGAGGGAGCGAAGCUAAUGCCUGGCUUCCACAUGAGAAGCCUAGUACCAGGGUCAUACAUGGUGCCUCUGGAAAGAAAAUGCUAUUUGCAACUAUAACCCACUCGCACCAAUUGUGA
rnacentral:lncRNA from 1 species